UUACGGUCAUGUCACGUUGAAACACCGGUUCUUGUCCAAUCACCGAAGUUAAGAAACGUUGAGCCUGAUCUGCACCUAGAUGAGUGACCACUCAGGAAUACCAGGUGCU